GCUUCACUUUGGGAUUUUCUACCGAAUCGAGCGGUUGGCUCUAAGAUCUCUUAAGUUUCAGAACCCUACCCGAUUUAACAUGGAUAAGUGGCUACAGCCUGAGUUUCGCAACCUCUUGGAGAACAAGAAAUUCUGCGAUUGUCAUAUU